GAAGAUAUCCUCUUGCACUGGCUUGGAUUUUUCACAUUGUCACUAAUUUUUAAAAAAAUGAGUGAAAGAUUUUACCUCUGAAACAAACUGCAAAAAGAAUGUCAUUUAUUUCAUAGUAUAUCCAGAUAGAAUAUAUGUGGAAAUUUAGGACAGGAAUUUAGGACAGGAGCAAAGGAAAGAGAAAUAAGGUAAAAGAAGGCGGGAAAGAGAUAAAAGAGAGACUGUUAGGUAAGAAUUCAUCAUGAAACAAGUGGAGAGAAUUCAAACUUCCAAGGUAGGAUAUAUGGCUGAUGGAAACACAUGG